rnacentral:rRNA from 1 species
UGCAGUGGUGGGGGUUGGAAAGUUUCGGCGGUUGGGGAUGGACUCGCGGCUUAUCAGCUUGUUAGUGGGGUAGUGGCUUACCAAGGCUUUGACGGGUAGCCGGCCUGAGAGGGUGACCGGCCACAUUGGGACUGAGAUACGGCCCAGACUCCUACGGGAGGCAGCAGUGGGGAAUAUUGCACAAUGGGCGGAAGCCUGAUGCAGCAACGCCGCGUGCGGGAUGACGGCCUUCGGGUUGUAAACCGCUUUCGCCUGUGACGAAGCGUGAGUGACGGUAAUGGGUAAAGAAGCACCGGCUAACUACGUG